AUACUUGGAUGGCAGGGGCGAGACCGUGAUCAAGAUGGGUCACCCGUGGCGAGGCUCAGCUAUUGCACUCCGAUUGUGCUGACCCCUGCAAAUUCCCCGAAUGUGGGAAUCUCGACUGCAUAAUUUCUGAUAGUAAGGGGACUGGGUUCGCGCACUG